UACUAAUGAUGUAUUGGUUGGUGGUGUGGUGGUGGUUGUGGUGUGUGUGGUGUUGGUGGUGGUGUUGUGUGUGGUGUGUGUUGUGUGGUGUGUUGUUGUGUGUGUGUUGUGCCAGUGCCUGUACGGAUACACCACUACACUGUAUCAGUAGAUAGUAGUAGUACUCUGCUAAUGAUGAUAGGUAUACUGUAUCACUGUAUCUCUGCUGUAGAGCAUGUGUAUACUGUGCAAUGGUAUUACUGCUACACAUCACUAGUGCCAUAGAUGUACUGCAUGCUGGUAUACCUCUAAUGACUGCAUAGCACGUGUACUCCUUAUCUUGCUAUUCAGUGUUACUGUAUAAGCUGAUGUACUGAUAGUGCAUUUUUUUUU
rnacentral:rRNA from 1 species